AUUGAACGCUGGCGGCAGGCCUAACACAUGCAAGUCGAGCGGAUGAAGGGAGCUUGCUCCUGGAUUCAGCGGCGGACGCGUGAGUAUUGCCUAGGAAUCUGCCUGGUAGUGGGGGAUAACUUCCGGUAACGGGCGCAAAUCCUCCAUAAACCCUGAGGGAGACAGUGGGGGACCUUCGUACCUCAUCCUAUCAAUUGUACCUAGGUGGCAUUAGCUAGUUGGUGGGGUAAAGGCAUACUAAGGCGACGAUCCGUAACUGGUCUGAGAGGCUGAUCAGGCACACUGGAACUGAGACACGGUCCAGACUCUUACGGGAGGCAGCAGUGGGGAAUAUUGGACAAUGGGCGAAAGCCUGAUACAGCCAAGCCGCGUGAGUGAAGAAGGUCUUCGGAUUGUAAAGCACUUUAAGUUGGGAGGAAGGGAAGUAAGGUAAUACCUUGCUGAUUUGACGUUACCAAAAGAAUAAGCACCGGCUAACUUCGUG
rnacentral:rRNA from 1 species